AGAGUUUGAUCAUGGCUCAGGAUGAACGCUAGCUACAGGCUUAACACAUGCAAGUCGAGGGGCAGCAUUUUAGUUUGCUUGCAAACUAAAGAUGGCGACCGGCGCACGGGUGAGUAACACGUAUCCAACCUGCCGAUAACUCGGGGAUAGCCUUUCGAAAGAAAGAUUAAUAUCCGAUGGUAUAUUAAAACCGCAUGGUUUUACUAUUAAAGAAUUUCGGUUAUCGAUGGGGAUGCGUUCCAUUAGUUUGUUGGCGGGUAACGGCCACCAAGACUACGAUGGAUAGGGGUUCUGAGAGGAAGGUCCCCCCACAUUGGAACUGAGACACGGUCCAAACUCCUACGGAGGCA
rnacentral:rRNA from 1 species